GACAGAGGGUGCAAACGUUGUUCGGAAUUACUGGGCGUAAAGCGCGUGUAGGCGGUCGGGCAAGUCGGAUGUGAAAGCCCAGGGCUCAACCCUGGAAGUGCACUCGAUACUGCUCGGCUAGAGUCCCGGAGAGGAUGGUGGAACUCUCGGUGUAGAGGUGAAAUUCGUAGAUAUCGAGAAGAACAUCGGUGGCGAAGGCGGCUCACUGGCCCGGUACUGACGCUGAGGCACGAAAGCGUGGGGAGCAAACAGG
rnacentral:rRNA from 1 species